GUAUUUCAACCCCGGUUCUCCACACCAUCCUCGCUUGAUCGUCGUUGCUCCUUACCCGGUGCCACCUCUACGUCCAGGCUCUCAUGUUCACUCACCCUCGUCAUCCGUUCAGUCGGCUGGGCUCAUCCUCCGCUCCUCACCUCUCGGGCUUCCUCCACGGCGCCCUCCCGGCUCCUCCCUGCUCCUCGCCUCACCACCCGUGCCUCGCCUGCUCCUCGGUCCUCCGUGCCCGCGUCCCCUGGCGUCCACCUCUCCUCCCUCACCUCUUCCCUAGCCCCCUCCGUGAACCCUCAAUAAAACCUCCUUCCCUCUGAGUGUUGCGUUUGGGUUCUUUCUGUCCCGUCCCCUAACAUCUACAAUAUUAACUAACAUUCAAAUCAUAAAAAAACUUUGAUCAAAA